CUUUCAUUUAAUGGCAGGUGAAAAAACCUAAAUAUAUCAUUGUAUAAGCGCCUGUCUUGUUAAUAUCUAAUUAUUUUUCUAAUUCGCAAUGUAUCUGACAAGUGUGUUCUUAAAAUAUUGGUAUUCCGAGCUGACAAUACAUCUUUAGAUGCUAUGUGUGGUAGUAGUGAUAGCUAUAUCAUUGGAGAUGGUGACGGCAGCGCCACAAGGGCUAUCACUCCCAGUUAUUCAGCUAGUGCAAGGACUCGUGCAAAACGUCGGUAAACUAUUGACACAACUAAUAAUGCCUGUUAUGAUGUGGUUGAUGAACUUGCUUAAGUCUUUAAUAUAAUAAAUAAAUCGAUUUGCAAAGCGUG